UUUAUUUGACACCGUUGUCUUUUUAGCACAUGUUUGACCGCUCGUCUUAUUCAAAAAUUUUAAAUAAUUAUUAAUUCUUUUCCUAUCAUUUGAUUGAUUGUUAAAUAUACUUUUAUGCAUACGUAUAGUUUUACAUAUUUCACAAAAGUUUUUAAAUAAGACGAACGGUCAAACAUGUGCUAAAAAAUCAACGGUGUCAAAUAAA
rnacentral:pre_miRNA from 1 species